AAAUAUAAUAUCUUCAAAAGAAAGAUGAAUAAAUUCUGAAACUUUAUUAACUAAAACUCAUGUCUAGGGUUUCAAAAUCAAUCCUUAACCAACAAAAAAAUUACUCACUCAUGUCUAAAAUAUUACAAAUCAAAGUCAUUUAAAAGAAAACUAGCAAAAUACAAGAGAAAGAAAAGCUUAUUGAUGAAUUCCAAUUAUGACAGCAUGUUGUCCUUCAAAGCAUUCCUUCAAUUUCGUUUUUGUAAGUGUUCUCCCUCUCUUUCUUUAAUGAGGCUCCUCCCUUUUUUUAUGAAGCUGAGUUCUCUUCCAUUUUAACAAGCAAAGACACCUUUUUCAUCAUGGUGUGAAUGGAGAAUC
rnacentral:lncRNA from 1 species